AUGGCUCAGGAUGAACGCUAGCUACAGGCUUAACACAUGCAAGUCGAGGGGCAGCAUGAUCUAGCUGCUAGAUGAUGGCGACCGGCGCACGGGUGAGUAACGCGUAUCCAACCUUCCCUAUAGUAGAGGAUAGCCCGGCGAAAGUCGGAUUAAUACUCUAUGUUUUCCAAUGCAGACAUCUAAGUUGGAACAAAGGUUCACCGCUAUAGGAUGGGGAUGCGUCUGAUUAGAUAGUAGGCGGGGUAACGGCCCACCUAGUCUACGAUCAGUAGGGUUCUGAGAGGAAGGUCCCCCACAUUGGAACUGAGACACGGUCCAAACUCCUACGGGAGGCAGCAGUGAGGAAUAUUGGUCAAUGGGCGAGAGCCUGAACCAGCCAAGUAGCGUGCAGGAUGACGGCCCUAUGGGUUGUAAACUGCUUUUAUCGGGGGAUAAAGUGAGGGACGUGUCCCUUAUUGUAGGUACCCGAUGAAUAAGGACCGGCUAAUUCCGUGCCAGCAGCGGC
rnacentral:rRNA from 1 species